UACGUAGGUGGCAAGCGUUGUCCGGAUUUACUGGGCGUAAAGGAUGCGUAGGCGGAUGUUUAAGUGAGAUGUGAAAUACCCGGGCUCAACUUGGGUGCUGCAUUUCAAACUGGAUAUCUAGAGUGUCGGAGAGGUAAGUGGAAUUCCUAGUGUAGCGGUGAAAUGCGUAGAGAUUAGGAAGAACACCAGUGGCGAAGGCGACUUACUGGACGAUAACUGACGCUGAGGCAUGAAAGCGUGGGGAGCAAACAGG
rnacentral:rRNA from 1 species